GACGGCCACAUCGCGUUGAAACACCGGUUCCAGUAUGAUUACCGAAGUUAAGCAACGUCGAGACUGGUCAGUACCUAGAUGGGUGACCAUUUGUGUAUAUCUGGUGCU